rnacentral:misc_RNA from 1 species
GAUGAAGAACGCAGCGAAAUGCGAUAAGUAAUGUGAAUUGCAGAAUUCAGUGAAUCAUCGAAUCUUUGAACGCACAUUGCGCCCGCCAGUAUUCUGGCGGGCAUGCCUGAUCGAGCGUCAUUUCAACCAUCAAGCCCCCGGCUUGUGUUGGGGGACCUGCGGCUGCCGCAGGCCCUGAAAACCAGUGGCGGGCUCGCUAGUCACUCCGAGCGUAGUAGUUACAUCUCGCUCAGGGCGUGCUGCGGGUUCCGGCCGUUAAAAGCCUUAUUUACCCAAGGUUGACCUCGGAUCAGGUAGGAAGACCCGCUGAACUUAAGCAUAUCAAUAAGCGGAGGA